rnacentral:rRNA from 1 species
CGGAGGAUCCGAGCGUUAUCCGGAUUUAUUGGGUUUAAAGGGAGCGUAGAUGGAUGUUUAAGUCAGUUGUGAAAGUUUGCGGCUCAACCGUAAAUUGCAGUUGAUACUGGAUAUCUGAGUGCAGUUGAGGCAGGCGGAAUUCGUGGUGUAGCGGUGAAAUGCUUAGAUAUCACGAAGAACUCCGAUUGCGAAGGCAGCCUGCUAAGCUGCAACUGACAUUGAGGCUCGAAAGUGUGGGUAUCAAACAGGAUU